AUUGAACGCUGGCGGCAGGCCUAACACAUGCAAGUCGAGCGGAUGAAGGGAGCUUGCUCCUGGAUUCAGCGGCGGACGGGUGAGUAAUGCCCAGGAAUCUGCCUGGUAGUGGGGGAUAACGUCCGGAAACGGGCGCUAAUACCGCAUACGUCCUGAGGGAGAAAGGGGGGGAUCUUCGGACCUCACGCUAUCAGAUGAGCCUAGGUCGGAUUAGCUAGUUGGUGGGGUAAAGGCCUACCAAGGCGACGAUCCGUAACUGGUCUGAGAGGAUGAUCAGUCACACUGGAACUGAGACACGGUCCAGACUCCUACGGGAGGCAGCAGUGGGGAAUAUUGGACAAUGGGCGAAAGCCUGAUGCAGCAAUGCCGCGUGUGUGAAGAAGGUCUUCGGAUUGUAAAGCACUUUAAGUUGGGAGGAAGGGCAGUAAGUUAAUACCUUGCUGUUUUGACGUUACCAACAGAGUAAGCACCGGCUAACUUCGUG
rnacentral:rRNA from 1 species